CCGCCCCCACCUGCCUUCCCCGGUACAGGCCCGGCUCUGGUUCCGCAGCCUUCCCGGCGCCCGGGGACCGGAGGCCACCAUGUCCCAGCGUUUCGUGGUGACCCCCGCGGGGGGCGGAGUGGAGAAUCCCGACCCCGCAGCUGCCCCGGAGUCGCCGCGGGUGGACGCGCUGCCCAUUCUGCACUACGGACGUGAGCCGAGCCGCUACGGCUACAAAAACAAGCAAACAAACAAACAAACAAAAAACUUGAAAUGAACUUGUCAAAUGAUGAAAAUUCAUCCUUUCCAGGGAAGCAGAAGGUAGACCAGUGCAGGUUAUCCUCAAGGCCAUACAUCCUGCUUCACUGCUGCUGGCACUCUGCUGGGUUUUGAUCCUUCUUUGAGUCAUAGUCUGGAUCAUUUUCCUCAUCUUCUUCUUCCCCUUCCUCAUCUAUUUCUUCACCUUCAUCAUCAUCAUCAUCAUCUUCAACCGCUUCUCCAGUAAAGUAUUAUGAAACUU